GAUGAACGCUGGCGGCGUGCCUAAUACAUGCAAGUCGAGCGAACGGACGAGAAGCUUGCUUCUCUGAUGUUAGCGGCGGACGGGUGAGUAACACGUGGAUAACCUACCCAUAAGACUGGGAUAACUUCGGGAAACCGUAGCUAAUACCGGUUAAUAUUUUGAACCGCAUGGUUCAAAAGUGAAAGACGGUCUUGCUGUCACUUAUAGAUGGAUCCGCGCUGCAUUAGCUAGUUGGUAAGGUAACGGCUUACCAAGGCAACGAUGCAUAGCCGACCUGAGAGGGUGAUCGGCCACACUGGAACUGAGACACGGUCCAGACUCCUACGGGAGGCAGCAGUAGGGAAUCUUCCGCAAUGGGCGAAAGCCUGACGGAGCAACGCCGCGUGAGUGAUGAAGGUCUUCGGAUCGUAAAACUCUGUUAUUAGGGAAGAACAUAUGUGUAAGUAACUGUGCACAUCUUGACGGUACCUAAUCAGAAAGCCACGGCUAACUACGUG
rnacentral:rRNA from 1 species